AGGCUGGCACUGAUUACACUUUCUCUCCCUGUGAGGGAUGUCCUGCAGUGGUGAAUAGACACAUGAUUGACAUAAAAUGUGACAAGUAUUGGAAUAGUAACUUGUAGAAGGUUGGAGUUCACAAAGGAACAUCUUCUCUUCUUAUUCUUUUUAUUUUUUCAUCCUUUUCUCUUUUUUUCUAUUUUUCCCUGUCUUUUUUCUGUCUUGUCAAUUCCUACCUUUUUCCCCUUUUUAUUCUAAUUUUGUCUUUUCUGUUAUAUUUAUACAGGGAACAUCCUUUUUAAUACUGGUGUCAGGGGAUUUGACAUACUGUAGUGACAUAUUUAUUGUUUGUUGUUGUGUGGGGGACAAAAAUCUCUGGAACAUUUAAACAUGCUGGAAGAGCUCUCCUGAAGCCCAUUCACAUGCACCCCCCGACCAGGUUAUUACAAGUUUAACUAUCAACUCCCUUGUGCAAAUUAUAUGGUCUAAAGAGAACUUUAAGCAAGGAUUUUAUUGUCUAAACUUACCAAGAGCCAAGAUUUAAGUGUUGCUCAAAUGCCGUCUCCUCACAGAGACCCUGUCUACAGCAUCUCAAAUAGCCUCCCGCUCCUCCAUCCUCUUUUUCUCAUCACUGAUAGAUGUUAUAUGUUUUUUCAGAUGCUAUAAACAUUUUUUUCAAUGCAUUUCUCCCUCCUUAGAAGGUAAGUUCACAAGGGAAGGAUUUUGUUUUCUUUUGUUUAUUCCUUCAAUAAAUAUUCAUUAAGCGUGUAAAUAAAAGAAUGAAUGCUAAAAUAUAAGGAUGCCUCUGAACUGUUCAUUAGAAAUUAUAAUUUGUUCUUAUUUCAUUUGUUAUGUUUGCAGAAGAACUGGGGAAUUUGGCAAUACUUCGUAAUGCUAAUUACAAUUGCUUGAGAGCAUAUCAUUAUCCUUUCUUUGGUUGAGAUGGAAUCAAUGUUUUUCUAUCCGCUUUCUAUCCGCAGGUUUCACAAAUUCAGUUCCAAAAAGGAGGUACAAAGGUGUUUGAUAACUGUUCCUGUUAGAGGAUUGAAAGAGGUAACAUCUGCUGUAGAGCCAUUUUUGAAGCUAAACUUGAGAAGUGAGAAAGUCGACGUGCAAAAUUACCCGUAUUCCUUGAUAUUUUCGCUCUUACUGCUACUCUUCUGUACCGAAUGUGAGUGUAACUCGACAGGUGGAUAAAGUUUAGACCAGUGCCCCCAACUGGUUACCAAUAGGAGUCUACCAAGCAGUUACCCCGGGAGCCUCAUGGAGAACCACGUCUGCUACAAACCUACUGAAGCGCAGACAGAGUGUCCUUUACUAAUCUGUGUUUUUCAUCUCUCUUUUUCAUGUUUCUUCCAUCCCUCUUUUGCUCUCUCUCUUCCUUUCUUACAUGAAUAUAAUGAUUGCAAAUAUGUUAUACCAUUUCUCUCCAUCUUUCUCCUCUUGGGGAUUUCAAUCCAGACUGUUUUUAUUCAUUUUACAUUUUAGGUGAAGAUUUCUUGACUCCCUUGUUAUCUCUUUUGCUCCUUCAGUGAAUCUUUAUCAAGUGCUGGCUGUGUCCCAGGCAGUGUUCUAGGGCAGAUGAUGUGGGAUAUAUUGGGUUAUCAGAGAAGAUCUCUUUUAUUAUGUGUCAUUUGAGUAGGGGCCAGAAUAACAAGAAUGAACCAGUCAUAUGAUGAUCCUGGAAAGGAAAGUAAGGGCUUAGGUGCUGGGCCAAGGGGUUGAUUGGAAUGUUUCAGAAAAAAAAAAGGAAAGAAGGCAGAACUGGGAAAUUCGUCAGGUGCAGAUCGUGUAAGUGCUUAUGCACCAGUGUAUGAGUCCGCAAGAGCUGUCGUAACACAAUACCACAGACUGGAUGGCUUAAACAACAGAAAUUUAUUUCUCACAGUUCUGGAGGCUGGAAGUCUAAGAUCAAGGUGUCGGCAGGUUUGGUUUCUCGUGAGGCCUCUCUCCUCGGCUUGCAGAUGGCCGCCUUCUUGAUGUGUCCUCUCAUGGCCUGUUCUCUGGGCAUACACAUCCCUGGUUUCUCUUCUUAUAGGGACAUCAGUCAUAUUGCAUUAGGGUCCCACCCUUAUGACCUCCUUUAACCUUAAUUACAUCUUUAAAGGCCCUAUCUUCAAAUAUAGCCACAUUCUAAAGUAUUGGGAGUUACAGUUUCAACAUAGGAAUUCAGGGAGAACAUAAUUCAGUUCAUAACCACCAGGAUUAAGGAGUUGGGUUGAAUUCUAAGUGUCAUGGGAGGCCAUGGUAGGAUUUCAUAUGGGGUGAGUGGCUCUUCCAUGUGAUUUGUUCAUCUUAUACUCUGAGUUGGAGCUUGGAGGUGAGUAUUACUGUCACCAGACAUGAACCCUAACCUGCUUCUCUUGUCCUGCUUAAAAAUAUAACUUUUAUGUUUGACCUAAUUCUCUUGUCUUCCUGAAAGGUGCAGGUGUUCCUUUAUGUAACACCUUGGGGCCUUGAGCUUAGGCAGUUUUCAGCUACAUUCCGAGAAGAAGCUCUAAGUGAGAACCAUCAUGGACCCAGCUGUGCUGAACCAGAUCAGGCCAGCCCAGACCACAGCCACAAGACUGGCACCUGCACAGAUAGGCCGAGAGUUGUACUGAAAUAACCUGCCCUCAUUAACAUGGUAAAAUCCCCUCCUUGGAGAAGGAGAAAGCAGUCAUUUUUAGGUCAUGCGAUGUAUGUAGAAGCAUGCCCUUAAACCAUGCAUGCGCAAGCUUAUGCCCCCCGCUACAUGAGAUGAUGGAACUCUCCCUUUGAAUAUUCAUCCCCUACCUGAAUAAAGAUACCUACCUCCCUGUGCAUGGGGGACCAUAGCUUUCUGACAUUAUUCCCUAUAGUCUCCACCUUUUUCUUUGCUGCCUGCCGUAAAUAAAAACUCGACUUUGUGAAGUAGCACCAGCUACUUCUGGUGCAGUUUGAUUUAAUUCCCAAGAAGGGACCCACAUUUGGUCCAGUAACAUUAUUAUGUAUCCACUUUUCUGAUAUGUGAUGUUUGGGCAUAGGGCAGGGAGAAUUCGGCAGGGAAUACACAGCCUUUGUUGGAGAAACCAGGGUUCCAUCCUCUCUUUCGAGCUUGUGUUAAGUAGAAUCUACAAAAGUUCUCUCCACCAAGCCUGAAAUAUAUUUUAGUCCCAUGGUGUAGGAAUUGUGCAAUUCAGCUUAGAAGCCCAAAGCUCUGAAUGUUCAGUCUGCUUCAUCAGACUGUCUACUGACUGACACAGCUCCAGUAUUCAGCAGAAGCAAAAAUAAGGAGGAUUUCUCUGGAGUGGUUGGGUGAAGGUCAAGUGACUUUGGACUCCCAGUGUACUUCUCCACCCCUACUGCCAGUCCUCUACUCCCUUACAGAGUUUUGUAGUUUCUGUGCCCUCCAUUUAUUGCUUAGAAUAAUUAUCCAGAUAAAGCUGUGAUGAUUUUACUCCUUCCACCUUUCUUUCAGUCUGAGGAGACAAUCUGGAUGGGGGUUGUCUUCUGGAACUUUUUCCUGCUUCAACUGAAGUCCCAUUGUGAUGGUUUUCUUCACAGUUUUCUCUGAAUGCAGGCUCUGUCCCUCAGUGUGUCUUGUUCUACAUUUGUGAAUGCUAGUGAAUAUUCUCGAGAUCUUCCAA
ensembl:lncRNA